rnacentral:rRNA from 1 species
CAAUAGCGUACAUUAAAGUUGUUGCGGUAAAAAAGCUCGUAGUUGGAUUUCUACCGAAGAUAGCCGGUCGGGUCUUCGACCUUGUAUCUGGUUUUGUCUUUGGUAUCCUCAUAGGGAACGUUUCUGCGCUUUAUUGCGUGGUGCGGUAUCUAUGACUUUUACUUUGAGGAAAUUAGAGUGUUCACGGCAGGCAAACGCCUUGAAUAUAUUAGCAUGGAAUAAUAACAUAGGAUCUUCGUCCUAUUUUGUUGGUUUCUAGGGCUAAGAUAAUGAUUAAUAGGGAUAAUUGGGGGCAUCUGUAUCAACGCGUCAGAGGUGGAAUUCUUGGAUUGCGUUGCGACAAACUACUGCGAAAGCAUUUGCCAAGGAUGUUUUCAUUGA